rnacentral:rRNA from 1 species
CCUACGGGAGGCAGCAGUGAGGAAUAUUGGUCAAUGGACGCGAGUCUGAACCAGCCAAGUAGCGUGAAGGAUGACUGCCCUAUGGGUUGUAAACUUCUUUUAUAAAGGGAUAAAACGAGGCACGUAUGCCUUUUUGCAUGUACUUUAUGAAUAAGAAUCGGCUAACUCCAUGCCAUCAGCCGCGGUAAUACGGAGGAUCCGAGCGUUAUUCGGAUUUAUUGGGUUUAAAGGGAGCGUAGAUGGGUUGUUAAGUCAGUUGUGAAAGGUUGCGGCUAAACCGUAGAAUUGAAUUUGAUACUGGCAGGCUUGAGUACAGUUGAGGUAGGUGGAAUUCGGGGUGUAGCGGUGAAAUGCUUAGAGAUCACGAGGAACACCGAUUGCGAAGGCAGCUUACUAAACUGUGACUGACAUUGAUGCUCGAAAGUGUGGGUAUCAAACAGGAUUAGAUACCCCUGUAGUC